GACGAACGCUGGCGGCGUGCUUAACACAUGCAAGUCUAACGGCAAGGCCCUGCUUUUGUGGGGUGCUCGAGUGGCGAACGGGUGAGUACCCCGUGAGUAACCUGCCCUUGCCUUUGGGAUAACUUCAGGAAACUCGGGCUAAUACCGGAUAGGAGCUCCUGCUGCAUUGUGGGGGUUGGACAGUUUCGGCGGUUGGGGAUGGACCCGCGGCUUAUCAGCUUGUUGGUGGGGUAGUGGCUUACCAAGGCUUCGACGGGUAUCCGGCCUGAGCGGGUGACCGGCCACAUUGGGACUGAGAUACGGCCCAGACUCCUACGGGAGGCAGCAGUGGGGAAUAGUGCACAAUGGGCGGAAGCCUGAUGCAGCAACGCCGCGUGCGGGAUGACGGCCUUCGGGUUGUAAACCGCUUUCGCCUGUGACGAAGCGUGAGUGACGGUAAUGGGUAAAGAAGCACCGGCUAACUACGUG
rnacentral:rRNA from 1 species